CCUACGGGAGGCAGCAGUGAGGAAUAUUGGUCAAUGGACGAGAGUCUGAACCAGCCAAGUAGCGUGAAGGAUGACUGCCCUAUGGGUUGUAAACUUCUUUUAUAUGGGAAUAAAAUGUUCCACGUGUGGGAUUUUGUAUGUACCAUAUGAAUAAGGAUCGGCUAACUCCGUGCCAGCAGCCGCGGUAAUACGGAGGAUCCGAGCGUUAUCCGGAUUUAUUGGGUUUAAAGGGAGCGUAGGUGGAUUGUUAAGUCAGUUGUGAAAGUUUGCGGCUCAACCGUAAAAUUGCAGUUGAAACUGGCAGUCUUGAGUACAGUAGAGGUGGGCGGAAUUCGUGGUGUAGCGGUGAAAUGCUUAGAUAUCACGAAGAACUCCGAUUGCGAAGGCAGUUCACUGGACUGCAACUGACACUGAGACUCGAAAGUGUGGGUAUCAAACAGGAUUAGAUACCCGUGUAGUC
rnacentral:rRNA from 1 species